AACCCAUGAUUUGGGCACUUUCUCAGCAUAGACUUAAAUCUCUCCCAAGCUUCACAUAGGCUUUCACCUGCAAACUGGGAAAAAGUAGAAAUAGCAGUUUUACAAUU